rnacentral:lncRNA from 1 species
GAUGGCGGCGAAGGCAGGCGGUGGCGCUGAGUAGAGAGAGAUGACGUCGGCGGCGGUGGCGCUGAGUAGAGAGAGAUGACGUCCAUAAUCUUGCGGAGGUGUUCCUCAACCUACAUGAGGUUUGCACAUUCCCUUCCCUUUUUCUGAAUCUGUUUUUCUUUAAUUUCCUCGGUUAUGCGUAUGAUUACUUGCUAGCCUGUAGCAUAGCCAGUUUUCAAUGUUUUCAUAUAGAGUUUUAUUUGGCUUGUGCUUUCAUAUUUUUACAGGCACCCCAAGUGUGGGAAGAAUAAAAUGUAAUUCAAUUGUUGGGUAUAUUGUUCAGAUGAGUUCGUCCUGUGCUAGAAGGUGAGCUGAACCCAGCCUAGGCCUCAAGUUUCUCCUGUCCUUUGAAGUGCAUUGUUAUUUCUGUGAGGUUCACAUGUAAUUUGUUCAACUAUAGUACUCAGUGAAUGAGACAAGGCACUACUGCAUUUAAUUUUGUGGUGUUCAGCUGCAGGAAUUCAGUUUGUUUCUGGUUUUUUGGAAGUCAUAGAUUGUUUUGUGCCGGAAACAGGAGAAGUAAUGCUCUAACCUUGGCAGCAAAAAUGGUCUAAAUUUCAUAUAGAAGGCCCUAGAACACUUUGCAUGUGUUCAUUCAAAUAUAUGGAGUUGACCUGUAUGUGUUGCUUCUGUGCACACUAUGUUUCAUAUGAAUUUGUAGGAGAGAAACUCUAUAAUGGUAAUGAAGUAUUGUCGAUAUUUACUCUGUUGCUUAAGGCCUAGGCAUCCUUUUGGAUGCAGUUAUGGUAGCAUGUGUGAGAGAAGUGGAUGGAAAAUUAGGGACUGAAACAAGUGGAGAAGAAAGUUAUUAGUUGAUUCUCACAUCAGAUAGAAGUUGUCUCACGAAUGUUUAUUUAUUUAGUGACCAGGCAUGAGAUCUGGAAUAUUGAAGAGCAACAAUUGGCAGAAGUAUUAGAUGAGUUUGGGAAUACAUGGUCAUGUAUGGAGUAUUUUCAUGAUUAGGUUUCCAUCGCUCUUCUCCUGAAGGCAUGAUGCCUCAUUUCAAUUCUCUUAUCUUGGUGUGUUUGUAUUCAGAAAAUUAAGGCAUGAUUCAUCAUUUAGAUUAUCUUAUCUCCGUGUGUUUGUAUUCAGAAAAUCAAUUUGCUUAUUUUUUGCUUUCUUAGGGCUAUAAAAAGAGAAAAUUCCAUCGCUGAAAAUCUUUUAAAGAGAUUGAGGAUAAAAAAAUCCAAGCAAACUCCGCUUUUCUCCCGUAUUUUUUAUGCGCGCCUUAAUCUGUGUUAGGAGAAAAAUAUUGCUCUUUGUUCAGAAAAUGUUUAUUGGAUGGAAAAUACUCAGCAUUUAAAGUUUUUUCUUCAGAUGUUUUGGGUUUUUUGAGCAGGCUGCCCGACAGGUCUUGCGUUUUUUGCAAGAUUUGUAUGGAUUUGUGGUUCAUGACUAUAACUAUGAAUGUAUGAUGGCCUAUAGGAGAUAUGUCUGUUCUUUAAUGAUCAUUGCGGUUUCUUGGGUUCCUACUAUGCUAUUUAUUCAGUCUGUAGGCCAGCAUAUUAUUUUAAUUCUUUCUAACUUCCUUUCUAUACAUAG